CAAUAGCGUAUAUUAAAGUUGUUGCAGUUAAAAAGCUCGUAGUUGGACCUUGGACCUGGACAGGCGGUCCGCCUCACGGCGUGUACUGUCUUGCUGGGUCUUUCCUCUUGGUGAUCUGUUGUUUCGGCAGCAGGGAACCAGGACUUUUACUUUGAAAAAAUUAGAGUGUUCAAAGCAGGCUCGACGCCGGAAUAUAUUAGCAUGGAAUAAUAAAAUAGGACGUGCGGUUCUAUUUUGUUGGUUUUUGGAAUCGCCGUAAUGAUUAAUAGGGACAGUCGGGGGCAUUAGUACUCACAUGCUAGAGGUGAAACUCUUGGAUUUUGUGAAGACUAACUUCUGCGUAAGCAUUUGCCAAGGAUGUUUUCAUUAA
rnacentral:rRNA from 1 species